ensembl:miRNA eca-mir-9069 eca-mir-9069
AUGGACCACGUUGGGCGUAUCCAUUCGUCUGUCCGUGGACACUCACGUGGCUUCCCCGUGUUGACGUUGUGCACGGUGCUGCUGUGGACACGGGCGUGCGAUUGUCUCUCGGGGUCCCUGCCCUCGU